UAUUUGUGCAUGAUGCAGGUCCUGCAAAAGAAGAAGAAGAAGAGAGGCCAAAUAGAAUGAAAUCUGCUCUGCACCUAGUCAAUAAAGAGAAACUACAAUAGACAACAUAAAUAUCAAACAUCCAAAAGAAACAAGCUGCAACACAUGAAUGCUAGCCUCCAAAACAAGCAAAAAGAUUUCAAAACAUUAUGCACCAUAAUUCACGCAUUUCUCUAUUCCAGCAAAUGUCAGAAACCUUACAACUCAUCAUCCACAUAGUUGAAGGCAACUGUGCUCAUAUGGCAAUAUUUCACCAACAAAUGCCUAAGCCACUGCAACUAUUUUGGCCAGGUCAUACCUAAUCCAAGGAUGGUCCACUCGUAGAGCCAAAUGUAUGAAAUUUACAACUAAAUACCUUCAUAACCCACAACAAACAGAUGAAACCAUAUGCAAAAUAGACAACAAUAGGCAACUAUUCUAGAUAAUCACACUUUGUCAGCCAUUAAAAAAAAGGAAAUGGAAAUUCCUUUGCAGUUGGAGGAGAGGGAGGCAACUAGAAUUUAGAAAGGUGACAUUUUGAUUGAUUAAGAGAUCUAGAAUUAAAUAAUUUUGAAAAUCAAUUGAUUAGUUUAAAAGAACCUUUUGAAGAUUGAAAAUUUAAUUAUCAGAGUUAAAGACCCAAAGAUAUAAUUGAAGCCUUUUCUGAUAAAGCAUUUCAAUGGAAAAGGAAAAU
rnacentral:misc_RNA from 1 species